AGGAGGAACAGCCCUAGUGGCGGGGCCAGCUCUGGAAACCUGGAUUCAGCCCCCGCAGGAACUCCGGAGCUCUCCGUUUGCAGGGCCUGGAGGCUCCGGGGCGGG
rnacentral:pre_miRNA from 1 species